AACGGUCUAUACCUGCGGUACCUGCGGAAGGAUCAUUACCGAGUUUACAACUCCCAAACCCAAUGUGAACGUUACCAAACUGUUGCCUCGGCGGGAUCUCUGCCCCGGGUGCGUCGCAGCCCCGGACCAAGGCGCCCGCCGGAGGACCAACCAAAACUCUUUUUGUAUACCCCCUCGCGGGUUUUUAUAUCUGAGCCAUCUCGGCGCCUCUCGUAGGCGUUUCGAAAAUGAAUCAAAACU
rnacentral:misc_RNA from 1 species